GCCGGUGAUGACUUGUAUUGGUUGCUGAACAGGACUCUGUCGACAUUUUGCAUGAACUAGGAUGGUCCGAGGC
rfam:Triticum aestivum genome assembly, contig: Triticum_aestivum_CS42_TGACv1_scaffold_392578_5AS